rnacentral:rRNA from 1 species
GUGAGGAAUAUUGGUCAAUGGGCGGGAGCCUGAACCAGCCAAGUCGCGUGAAGGAAGAAGGAUCUAUGGUUCGUAAACUUCUUUUGCAGGGGAAUAAAGUGCAGGACGUGUCCUGUUUUGUAUGUACCCUGAGAAUAAGGAUCGGCUAACUCCGUGCCAGCAGCCGCGGUAAUACGGAGGAUCCGAGCGUUAUCCGGAUUUAUUGGGUUUAAAGGGUGCGUAGGUGGUUUGAUAAGUCAGCGGUGAAAGUUUGUAGCUUAACUGUAAAAAUGCCGUUGAAACUGUCGGACUUGAGUGUAAAUGAGGUAGGCGGAAUGCGUGGUGUAGCGGUGAAAUGCAUAGAUAUCACGCAGAACUCCGAUUGCGAAGGCAGCUUACUAAGCUACAACUGACACUGAAGCACGAAAGCGUGGGGAUCAAACAGGAUUAGAAACCCCGGUAGUCC